CAAUAGCGUAUAUUUAAGUUGUUGCAGUUAAAACGCUCGUAGUUGGAUUUCGGGUGGGACGCAGCGGUCUCGCAUUGCGUUUGUACUGCUGCAGCCCUCCUUCUUGCCGGGGGCGGCCUCUCGGACUUCACUGUCUGGGGGUCAGAAUCGGCGAUGUUACUUUGAGUAAAUUAGAGUGUUCAAAGCAAGCUUACGCUCUGAAUAUAAUAGCAUGGGAUAACACGACAGGACUCUGGCCUAUCGUGUUGGUCUAUAGGACCAGAGUAAUGAUUAAGAGGGACAGUCGGGGGCAUUCGUAUUCCGUUGUCAGAGGUGAAAUUCUUGGAUUUACGGAAGACGAACAUCUGCGAAAGCAUUUGCCAAGGAUGUUUUCAUUGA
rnacentral:rRNA from 1 species